GAUGAACGCUGGCGGCGUGCUUAACGCAUGCAAGUCGAACGGAAAGGCUCCUGCUUGCAGGGGUACUCGAGUGGCGAACGGGUGAGUAACACGUGGGUGAUCUGCCCUGCACUUCGGGAUAAGCCUGGGAAACUGGGUCUAAUACCGGAUAGGACGAUGGUUUGGAUGCCAUUGUGGAAAGUUUUUUCGGUGUGGGAUGAGCUCGCGGCCUAUCAGCUUGUUGGUGGGGUAAUGGCCUACCAAGGCGUCGACGGGUAGCCGGCCUGAGAGGGUGUACGGCCACAUGGGGACUGAGAUACGGCCCAGACUCCUACGGGAGGCAGCAGUGGGGAAUAUUGCACAAUGGGCGCAAGCCUGAGGCAGCGACGCCGCGUGGGGAUGACGGCCUUCGGGUUGUAAACUCCUUUCGCUAGGGACGAAGCGCAAGUGACGGUACCUGGAGAAGAAGCACCGGCUAACUACGUG
rnacentral:rRNA from 1 species